rnacentral:rRNA from 1 species
AUGAAGUUAUGUUUCCAUUUGAUUGCAAAUAUAGGUGCUAUCAUGGCAGCAAGCACAGGGGCUUCAGGAUGGCUAAGGGGCAAGGUGAAGGCUAUGACAUCUGGAGACUGCCUUCUCAUCAUGGGGAGCACAAAGGCAGAGAUUCCACCAGAGAAGUCCAUCACUCUGUCAUACCUUAUGGCCCCAAGGCUGGCUCGUCGUGGUGGAGUGGAUGAGCCAUUUGCUUGGGAAAGCAGGGAGUAUCUGAGGAAACUCUACGUAGGAAAGGAGGUCACAUUUAGAGUGGAUUACACUGCUCCUAACAUCGGACAAGUAUUUGGCAUUGUCUACUUUGGCGACAAGAACGUUGCCUACUUGGUGGUUGCUGCAGGAUGGGCAAGGGUGAUUACCAUUUACUUUUUCCUCAAUUGUUUUGUUGUGCCAAAUGUCCAAAAGGGGGGUGAAACAAUCCCAAAUGUCCAAAAGGGGGGGUGA